UUGGAAGUGAAUUGAUUUAUGUUUGGAUACACUUUACUAGAAGUGAUUCUUACGAAUUGAUGUUGUUUGGAUAG
rfam:Medicago truncatula strain A17 chromosome 5, whole genome shotgun sequence.